CAAAUUAGAUCCGUAACUUCGGGAUAAGGAUUGGCUCUGAAGAUUGAGAUAAUCGGGCUUGAUUGGGAAACAAUAAUAUGGUUUAUGUACUCGUUCUGGGUAAAUAGAAUUUAUUAAAAUUUAUUUUUUUAAAUUUGUUCCCCGGAUAGAAGUUUACUUAACCAAUUGUGGAACUUUCUUGCUAAUAAUAUAUUAUAAAUUGAUAAUUUUCGGAUUAUUAUAUUUUUAUAUAUUUAUAACGGUUAUCAAUUAACAAUCAAUUCAGAACUGGCACGGACUUGGGGAAUCCGACUGUCUAAUUAAAACAAAGCAUUGUGAUGGCCCUAGCGGGUGUUGACACAAUGUGAUUUCUGCCCAGUGCUCUGAAUGUCAAAGUGAAGAAAUUCAAGUAAGCGCGGGUAAACGGCGGGAGUAACUAUGACUCUCUUAAGGUAGCCAAAUGCCUCGUCAUCUAAUU
rnacentral:rRNA from 1 species